ACUUUCGCAAUCUUACUACGAUUCACAAACUCCUAGCAAAUCAUAAUAGUAGCACAUGGUUGUGCUUUUUGGAUUAUUCGUCCUAGCUGUUACUCAAUUUACCAAGUCUUUUUCUUCUUUUCUCAGUUUUGCCGCGACCCCUGAAACAGUGUGGGUAAACGACCCCUGUGCACACCUGUAUCUCUUCUGGAAAGCUCCUUGUGGACUUCAAAGCAUCCUGAAUCAUUCUUUGAUUGAAACGUUCCCAUGAAGAGUCACUGUAGUGUCAAAGUGCUUACAGUGCAGGUAGUUUUAUGAAAUCUACUGCAGUGAAGGCACUUUCAGCACUAUUCUGAUAAUGGUAACGAAAGGAGUAGGUGUUUUUACAGAUGUUGCCACCUUAUGCUUGUACAGGGUGGACUAAAUCCAAAUAGCACAUCAAUACACACCAGGCAGGACCCCGUCACUGAUCUGCUAUGAUGUGCCCUGCUGUUCCUGAAGGAGGCCCUCUUAUCAAACUUGCUUAAUUUUGAAGGCAUUCUGUCAGUUAAUGUCCUUUCAGUGUUAAACGGUCCAUGACAUCAGUUUUGUUUUUUCUGUUUGUUUAGAAAUGACUGUAAAUUACAGGCCAAAUUUAUCUUGUAGGCUUCUCUAAAAAAGUACUGUUGAGAAAUCAUUUAAAAUGAGUGUUUUUUGCGUGGCUUUUACCAGUCCUUAUGCUAAGGUGCAUCUAGUGCAGAUAGUGAAGUAGACUAGCACCUACUGCCCUAAGUGCUCCUUCUGGCAUAAGAUGAUGGGACUCUCAUCUGAUAUGUAUCAAUUGUUCUGUGUAUAAAUAUACACACUUUAAAUGUGGCAGUCUCCUAUUAGUUUUGCAUAGUUGUACUGCAAGAAGAAUUAAGUUGUGCAAAUCUAUGCAAAACUGAUGGUGGCCUGUGUUUUUCAGCUGAAUUCACCUAUUCCUUCAUGAUGGUCAAGUACAGUUCCCACUACAGAUUUGUUUAUAGGGUACAGCAAUGUGUCAGUAGUAUUAAAGUGCUUAUAGUGCAGGUAGUUUUAUGAAUUUCUACUGCAGUGUGAGCACUUAAAGUACUCCUAGAUGUAUGUUUCUUCUUGGAAAACUGCAGUGGUAGCUAUUGUACAUGGGUCUCUGGUUAGUUUUGCUGGUUUGCUUUCAGCUUAUCACUGUACUGCUGUGCAAAUCCAUGCAAAACUGAUCAUAGAACUGAAAUGAGUCUAUCAGAAGUGAUCCCUUUCUGUGCAGGUUGGGAGAGGAAGCAAUGCUCUGUACUUGUCUGGUAUUGCACUUGUCCCGGCCUGUUGAGGACAUGGGGAAUUGUUCUGCGCCACGUUCUACUGCCCACAUGCAUUUAGGAUAUAUUUGUGCUGCUCUAUUGAAUUGCCAUCUUUAAGUCACCAUCUACAUUUUCUCUUAUUUGUGUAGCAUUAAUCAAUUUCAUCACAAAAUUCAUAGUUGAGGUAACAUUUCUAUGAAUAUGUGUUAUUCUGAAUGUGACUAAACAAUGUAGGUUCACUAUUUGUGACAAUUCAAAGUUGAAAAUAAAAUUGUUCAUUUGA